GGAGAAGUGACCGAGCGGCUGAAGGUGCACGCCUGGAAAGCGUGUGUACGGUAAUACCGUACCGCGGGUUCGAAUCCCGCCUUCUCCGCCA
rnacentral:tRNA from 1 species